GCUUAUCCAUGUUCUCUGGACUUGCGUUCUUGCUCCCCUUUCAGUUAUGAGGACUUUGAGAAACAUCUGCAUGGGGAGGGGAUACUAAAUUUUCUGAGCUGAGAGACCAGAGCAGGACCUUCAGCUGCUUGUUCAUCUUUCGGGCAGCGGACCUGUCUCGGAGGAUGCAGUUGGCUCUGGAGAGCUGGUCAGUGCUGUGGGAGCUGCUCUAGUGCCGGUCUUGUGUUCUCUCUUAGUGCUACAUUCUGUCAACCCUCAUCAAUUUAAUUAUACUGAUGUUAAAAAGCCA